rnacentral:rRNA from 1 species
UGGGGAAUAUUGGACAAUGGGGGCAACCCUGAUCCAGCAAUGCCGCGUGUGUGAAGAAGGUCUUCGGAUUGUAAAGCACUUUCGACGGGGACGAUGAUGACGGUACCCGUAGAAGAAGCCCCGGCUAACUUCGUGCCAGCAGCCGCGGUAAUACGAAGGGGGCUAGCGUUGCUCGGAAUGACUGGGCGUAAAGGGCGUGUAGGCGGUUUACACAGUCAGAUGUGAAAUCCCCGGGCUUAACCUGAGAGCUGCAUUUGAUACGUGUAGACUAGAGUGUGAGAGAGGGUUGUGGAAUUCCCAGUGUAGAGGUGAAAUUCGUAGAUAUUGGGAAGAACACCGGUGGCGAAGGCGGCAACCUGGCUCAUGACUGACGCUGAGGCGCGAAAAGCGUGGGGAGCAAACAGGAUUAGAUACCCUGGUAGUCCACGCCUGUAAACGAUGUGUGCUAGAUGUUGGGUAACUU